AUGUGUGGGCGUACAGAGCGUGGCUUGCACGCUCACACACGUGCCCAGAUGGCACUGCACAUACACACCCGUGCCAGCAGCCUGCCUGCACAGCAUGACACAGCAAUCCUGCCACCAGCACCUGGUGCUACAGGGGAUGCCCCAGCACUGCCAUGCCCUUGCUUGGUGUCCUGCAUACGGUGCAGCAGCAGCUCCUGGGACAGCACAGCUGCAGAGCUGGGAGGCUUCGGUGAGAAGAGCUGGGGCCAGAGCUGUCACUGCAGGACUUGGGGCACAGUCAGAGCUGAACUGCGGCCAAGGAUGGAGUGUGAGCCCCAAAACUGCCACCCCUGCAUCAUGAGGGUCCUGUCGCUGCUGCUGCUACUGGCGUUCUGCUGCCUCUGGGCCCGGCUGGUGGCUGUAGGUGAGCAUGGGAUGGGCUAUGGGGAGGGUCUGGGAUGCUGCGUCCCCAUGGCAGAAAGCACUUUGUACCAUGACCAGCAAACUUGGGGAGGGCCCAGUGUGCCCCAGGGUUAGGGUGCUCCUAUCUCUCCCCAGGGCUCACCUAGCCUGUUUGGACCUGGACCAAGGACCCCACUUGUGCAGUCUCAUGUCAGAAAGUCAGCCAGACAUGGACUCAUCCAUCGACUGCAGAGCGAGCACCCAUCAUCUCCCAUCCCAAAUCCACCCCUCCACCCUCAGCUCACAACUGGGUGUGGGGAUCUCUGUGCUUCUUCCUUGCUAUUAAAGCCCAUCCGCAAUUAGCUCUGCUGGUUUCUGAGAUGUUCAGUCUCCUGGUGAGCCUUCAUUGGAUCCCCGGCCCCCGUGGGAGGGAAGUGCCAUGGCAGCCAGCUGGUCCUGAGGCCAGCACACGUCCUGCCCUCACAUCAGGCUGCUCACCCAGGUUAUGACGUGUCAGGGGCAUCUCUGGGUUUGUGGAAGAAGCUGUGAAGAAGCAAGCUCCCAGAUGGCCUGGAGAUGCCAGGCAUUGUGACAAGGGACAGCUUGUUGUGUUGAGCAAGUGGCCCAUUGUGGGAUUUAUUAGGAAACAGAAGGUUCUGCCCAAAACAGCGCUGGUGUCCAGGACUGGCCCUGGCAGAGUGAGGUGAGGAGAGGCUGGAGGCAGCUCCGUGUGCCCACCUGCAAUGAGCUGUCCUCGCACCCUGUGCUCUGCACACACCUCACAGUGCUGGUCACUGAGCUGCUGCCAGCAUCGCUGCCAUCUCCACCACUGUCAUCUUCAGUCAUCGCUGUCACCGAAUCCACCAUCACCUCCAUAGUCAUUCUCAUCAUUUCCACCAUAGUCAUUACUGACAUUGUUACCACCAUCAUUAUCAUUGUCAUCAUAGCCCUCAUCAUCACUAUAGCCAUAGUAAUAAUCAUGGUCAUCUUCCACAUUAUCUUCAUGCACUUUUUUCUCAUCAACAUCAUCAUCGCUGUCAUCAUCAUCAUCGUCAUCAUCGCUGUCAUCACCCUCCUCACCGCCUCCAUGUUCAGACUUUGGUUUCUCUCCUGACUCAGGCUUCUCCCCACUCUCCUUUUUCCCCCCAGCCUCUGGUUUUGCCCCCCCCUCUGGUUUCUCCCCCAUCACAGGUUUCACUCCACCCUCUGGCUUUCCCCCAGUCCCCGGCUUUUUCCCACUCUCAGUUUUCCCUCCACUCUCCAAUUUCCCCCCACCCCCCGGUUUCUCCCCACUCCCUGGUUUUACCAUUGCUCCUGUUGUUAUCUUUGGCUUUUCCCCAGCCCCCCCCUUCCCCUCACACUCUGGCUUCUUCCCCACGCUGGGUUUCUUUGGGAUCUCUUGCUUUUCCCUCAUUGUGCUGCCUGCUGGAGGCUUCUCCCUGCUCCCAGCUCCAUUCUCAGCCACAGGUCUCACCGCCGGCCGCUCUCCAUGCAGGUGCUGCUCUGCACUGCCCCGCUCUGCCCCCGGCUGCUGCUGCACAGAUGGGCUCUGGGUGCCAUCCCGCUGCCGGCAACAGGCAUCUGCUGGCACUGCCGCCUGUGGCUUGGUCACAGGGAGGAUGGCUGCUGCUCCGUGCAGCCCUGGGCUGUACCUUCCUGGUGGAGGAAAUGGAGAAAGGUGAAACACCGAUGGCAGCAAGAUCUUAGCAACAUGAAAUGAAGAUAUUACGUAUUAUUCAACCAGGGCACAAACGUGGCAUUGAGAAUAGCUGUGAAGCAAGUGCAUACGCUUUGCUGUUAAGCAAUAGCAAACUAUCACACAGAAACAGCACAACACAGCGCUGACAUUCACUGCCUGCCUUAGAGUCUCCCUCUCUGAAAUGGAAUGGGACCACAGCAUUAGGAAGGAAGGCAUCACAGCCACUGACCGGCUGGCAAAGCAUAAGGCUUCAAGCCACAACUUAUCCAGGACCUAAAGAAAUUCAUCCUUCUAAAGGGGAACAUUUAGGAGACGAUGAAGCCAUUUCUGCAGACUCAUUUUCAUCAGAGCCUCAUUGCAGAGCAGCGGCAGGUCUGGCUGACACUGAGCAGUUACUGCCGGGCAGUUGGAGCUCAAACAUCAAACAGCCCAACUUAGAGUGAACGCUGAGUGAUCUGGAGGAGGAGACGGGCAGAGUUUUAAACACUGCCACGAUUCUUUCAUGGGAAUUUCUCUUCUUGCAAAUGAACUCCCAGGCUGAGAGCCGUGCAGGGGUUGCCUGGCUGGAGCCGCACACAGCCCAGGUGGGGGUGAAGGAAGCAGCUCCCCGGCACUAUGGCUCAGUGCCGGUGCCACCGCAGGCUCCGUCCCCAGCGGAGUUCAGCCUCCACGCAAAGACCCCCCGGCACCAGCCCCAUCCGGGCAGAGCGGGGCUGCAUCCUCCAGCGCUCGGCGAACGGGGAGCCCCGGCCCCAGCCAACAGCACCAGAAAAAGCAGCGUCAGAAGGAAAUAACAGAAAGCAAGAGAAGCUUCUGCAGCUGGAGCGCUCUGAACCGGACUCGCACGACAUUUAACGUUUCGCAGAAGCCAAAGGUUAGGAGCCUUAAGCAGGGCUAGAGCUCGCGAGGGUCGCAGCUCUGGCAGAAAGUGCUGGGAUAUAAAACCAAAGCAGAGCCACCCGCACAGCGCACAGCGCACCUCACCCACCGCGGGGCCGUGCUCACCUGCAGCGGGCGCGGCGUGCAGCGGGACACCGAGGGCCAGCAGCCCCAGCAGGAGCCAAGCACCCCCCCGCAUGGUGCCAGCACCCUGCCCGCACGGCGCCCAGACGGGAUUUAAGCUACAGCAGAGAGGCGGCCCCGGGCACCUCCCACGUCCUGCGUGCCCCGUGGGACACCCGCAGCAGCAGGGCAGGAGGAGACACCGGAACACCGGGCUGCGGCCAGCCCGAUUCUCGGCCCAUAAACCCUUAAUGGGCACUGGUAACAUCAGAGCUCCUCGUUCACCCCCAGGGGCACCUUCCCAGAUUGCAGAGCAAGAUUUCCCCCCCUCCAUUGCCCCGGAGGAGCUCAGCUCCACCUGUGCAGGGUUGAAUGUCAAUGCUGUAGCUUGUUAUGCUUUAAAACCAGCAGGAAUAAAUGUCUCCUGGCAGACA
ensembl:lncRNA